rnacentral:misc_RNA from 1 species
GUUAAGUGAGCGUGUGUUGUAUGUGUGUGAGUGUUUUAAUUCUUUGUUUAAGGCACAGACGCUUGCGCAUAAAACAUUUGUUUAUAUUGCAAAGUUUUCGGCGGAUCAUCUUCAGUUCUCAUAGAUCGAUCAAAACGAUUUAUUAAUUGGAUCUCUAGAACGUUAAUCAAAUUAUAUUUAAAAAAGCUGUGAUUUUUUGUUCAUUUUUUAAAAGAAAUUGAUAUAAAAAUGGCGCGUGCAGUGUUUUGCAUGGCCGUCGCUUGCAUUUUAGUGCAAUGCGCGUUCUCUGUUAAAUUAGAUGCAGAGAACCGACGUCUGAUUCUCGAUAUUAAAGAUCAGAAAACUACCAAUAAACAGUACUACUCGUCAAACUUUGACACAAACGCUUACCGUUACGGUUAUGAUAUUGGUAAGACCGGUAAUUUCCAUCACGAAACUCGUGGUCCCGAUGGCGUCACCUACGGCUGUUACGGUCACAUCGAUCCCUAUAAAAUUUUACGCGCCACACAUUACGUUGCCGAUAAUCACGGUUAUCGCACAGUCGAACCCGAAAAGCCAGUAGUAACAUAUCCCCUACCUGAUGAUCCCGCCACUGGCAAAAGCAACGGUGUCCUUUUGCAAUGGAACGAACUUUACUUCCCCAUUGGUUGCGGCAAGUUCGAAGGUGGUGUCCGCCCCAAUAUUCCCUUGAUUUUCGUCGAAGAUAACAAAGGAAAGGAGACAGUCGCUCUAGGACUUUCUAAAUUCCCUUCUAUAGUGAUUAAGGGUUCGGACCAAAAGAGUCCUCAGAUUCAUAGAUACGGUGAAAACAGUAAUAAGCGUGUAACUGGUGGAACAGGUCUAUUCGACACUGGUAAAGGUCAUACCUUCGAAGGUUCCCCAGGUGUUCAGUCCCCAUCUUCCCAUUCGGUUGCAGCCUUGAGACCCAGUGGUAAUGGAAAAUACAAUGGCAAUGGAAAAUACAAUGGAAAAAAUGAUAAUAACAAUGGCCAAUACAAUCAUGUUCCAAAUCCCUACGGUCAUGUAGUUGGUGCCCAAGGAGGACAUGGUGGUUUCGGUGGUAACGGAGGUCAUGGCGGUAAUGGUGGUAAUGGAGGUUUCGGUGGUAACGGUGGUGCCGGAGGUUUUGGACCCGCAGGAACUCCUGGUCCAAAUGGACCUCCUGGUCCUAAUGGACCUCCCGGACCUAAUGGACCCCCUGGACCACCUGGUCCACCCGGACCUCAUGGACCCACCUCCCCCGGACCUAAGGGACCUUUCGGACCACCAGGUCCUCCUGGACCAACUGGACCCGGCAGCUAUGGACCACCAGGACCCCCCGGACCUGAUGCUCCAGGAAAACCUGGUAAAUACGUAGGAAGCGGCAGUUCUGGAAACUAUAAUGUCGGCGCUGGCAAUGGUUAUAACAACAACGAUGGUCAUUCCGUGUCAGGUUUUCCUGGAGCCAACGGAUACACACAAGGAAAUGGUAAAUAUAAUAAUUAUGAUGAUGGUAGAUAUAAAGGCAUUCAAGAGGGUAAAUACUAUCAUGAUGAUUCUGGAAAAUAUGUUCAUAUUGAAGGUCCAACUGGUCCCCCAGCACCACCAUACGUCCACAUUGUAGGACCCAACGGCGGUUUUGGCGGCGAAGGCGGUUUCGGAGGCAAUGGUAAUGGUGGCGGUGUCGGACCCGGCGGCCCUAAAGGACCCGGUGGCCCCAAAGGACCCGGUGGCCCUAAAGGUCCUCCCGGACCUCCUGGCCCACCCGGACCUCCUGGACCUAAAGGACCAACUGCUCCCGGACCCAAAGGACCAUAUGGCCCUCCUGGACCUCCCGGCCCACCCGGACCAACUGCUCCUGGACCAAAGGGACCCUAUGGCCCACCCGGACCUAGCGCUCCUGGACCAAAGGGACCCCCUGGACCUCCCGGCCCUCAUUCUCCCGGUCCAUACGGACCUCCCGGCCCACCUGCCCCUGGUCCAUAUGGUCCUCCCGGCCCACCUGCUCCUGGUCCAUAUGGUCCACCCGGACCCAGUCGUCCAGGUCCACCAGGUCCCGCUCCUCCAAGUCCACCCAACUCUAACGGAAGACCACCAAAGAAACCUAAAGAUCCCAGAGAAUCCGAUUUGUCUGUUCCUGGCUACUUGCCUCCUCAUCAGAAAAAUGGUCCCGGAUACCACUAUUGAGAAGGACAAGCCCCAUACGACCUACACCACAACGACGACAACUAAUCAAAAUUAUGAAUACUGACAACUUUUGCCCGUGUCUAGCUGAUAAGGCUCAUUCAUCCAAAACUUCAACUUCCUCAACCUCUUCCUUUUCCACCAAUGGUUUUUCCACAUCACAAAACAGCAAUCCUUCCUCUUCCUCCUACCUAAACAGCAACAAUUAUCAACAACAAUUCACGACUAAUGGCGGCUUCACAGGUCAAGCACACUUUGGUAGCA